rnacentral:rRNA from 1 species
AGAGUUUGAUCCUGGCUCAGGAUGAACGCUAGCUACAGGCUUAACACAUGCAAGUCGAGGGGAAACGACAUCGAAAGCUUGCUUUUGAUGGGCGUCGACCGGCGCACGGGUGAGUAACGCGUAUCCAACCUGCCCAUCACUUGGGGAUAACCUUGCGAAAGUAAGACUAAUACCCAAUGAUAUCUCUAGAAGGCAUCUGAAAGAGAUUAAAGAUUUAUCGGUGAUGGAUGGGGAUGCGUCUGAUUAGCUUGUUGGCGGGGUAACGGCCACCAAAGCAACGAUCAGUAGGGGUUCNGAGAGGAAGGUCCCCCACAUUGGACUGAGCACGGUCCAAACUCUACGGGAGCA